rnacentral:rRNA from 1 species
AGACAGCAGUCGCCGCGGGAAUACGAAGGGUGCAAGCGUUACUCGGAAUUACUGGGCGUAAAGCGUGCGUAGGUGGUGGUUUAAGUCCGUUGUGAAAGCCCUGGGCUCAACCUGGGAAUUGCAGUGGAUACUGGGUCACUAGAGUGUGGUAGAGGAUAGUGGAAUUUCCGGUGUAGCAGUGAAAUGCGUAGAGAUCGGAAGGAACAUCUGUGGCGAAGGCGACUAUCUGGGCCAACACUGACACUGAGGCACGAAAGCGUGGGGAGCAAACAGGAUUAGAGACCCCUGUAGUCCCUGUCUCUUAUCC